UACGUAGGGGGCAAGCGUUGUCCGGAUUUAUUGGGCGUAAAGAGCUCGUAGGCGGUUCCGUAAGUCGUGAAGUCAAAUCUCUGGGCUCAACCCAGAAUCGCUUCCGAUACUGCGGUGACUGGAGUCCGGUAGGGGAGUGUGGAAUUCCUGGUGUAGCGGUGAAAUGCGCAGAUAUCAGGAGGAAUACCGGUGGCGAAGGCGGCUCUCUGGACCAAUAUUGACGCUGAGAAACGAAAGUGCGGGGAUCAAACAGG
rnacentral:rRNA from 1 species